ensembl:lncRNA
UUGUGGUGUUGGCUGUCAAUGUUAUUACACCCACGUUAACAGACAGCUGUCAGUAGGGCUGGGAAUUUCCAGGGACCUCAUCAUACUUAGGUGCCGAUACGAUUUGUAUUGUGAUUCUCACAAUUCUAUUUGUAUUGUGAUUCUCACGAUUCUAUUUGUAUUGUGAUUCUCACGAUUCUAUUUGUAUUGUGAUUCGAUACUGUGAUUUCAUUGCGAUUCGAUGUUCCAAACAUUGCUCACCACAUGUCUGCUGCAGAGGGACAAGAGAGCGAGCCAGGAGAAAAUGAGUUUUGAUCAGUCUAUGAAUUAAAAGUGCUGAAAACAAAUUGACUCCCAAUUUAAAAAGAAGAUGGAGAACAACACCUAUGAAGGAAAAAUACUGGAGUUUUUUGUGCUGGUACAGCCAGCCAACUAGCGCAUUAAAUAAUAUUGGGAUAUUGUCAAACUGAUAUUGUCUCAACAUGUCGUCAAAUAAUAUCCCAAUAUGUAAAUUGUUUUAAAGUAAGACACAACUGGUGUUGGAGACUAUCAGUGUCUCUAUGGUGGUGUUGGAGACUGUCAGUGUCUCUAUGGUGGUGUUGGGAGACGGUCAGUGUCUCUAUGGUGGUGUUGGACCCUGUCAGUGUGUCUAUGGUGGUGUUGGAGACUGUCAGUGUCUCUAUGGUGGUGUUGGAGACUGUCAGUGUCUCUAUGCUGGUGUUUGAGACUGUCAGUGUCUCUAUGGUGUCUCUAUGCUGGUGUUGAAGACUGUCAUUGUCUCUAUGGCUGGUGUUGGAGACUGUCAGUGUCUCUAUGGUGGUGUUGGAGACUGUCAGUGUCUCUAUGGUGGUGUUGGAGACUGUCAGUGUCUCUAUGGUGGUGUUGGGAGACGGUCAGUGUCUCUAUGGUGGUGUUGGACACGGUCAGUGUCUCUAUGGUGGUGUGGACUGUCAGUGUCUAUGGUGGUGUUGGAGAUGUCAGUGUCUCAUGGUGGUGUUGGAGACGUCAGUGUCUCUAUGUGGUGUUUGAGAUGUCAGUGUCUCUAUGCUGGUGUUUGAGACUGUCAGUGUCUCUAUGCUGGUUGUGGAGACUGUUCAGUGUCUCUAUGCUGGUGUGGAGACUGUCAGUGUCUCUAUCUGGUGUGGAGACUGUCAGUGUCUCUAUGCUGGUGUUGGAGACUGUCAGUGUCUCUAUGGUGGUGUUGGAGGACUGUCAGUGUCUCUAUGGUGGUGUUUGGAGAAUGUCAGUGUCUCUAUGGUGGUGUUGGGAGCGGUCAGUGUCUCUAUGGUGGUGUUGGACCCUCAGUGUGUCUAUGGUGGUGUUGGAGAAUGUCGUGUCUCUAUGGUGGUGUUGGAGACUGUCAGUGUCUCUAUGCUGGUGUUGGAGACUGUCAGUGUCUCUAUGGUGGUGUGUUGGAGACUGUCAGUGUCUCUAUGUUGGUGUUGGGACUGUCAGUGUCUCUAUGGUGGUGUUGGAGACUGUCAGUGUCUCUAUGCUGGUGUUUGAGACUGUCAGUGUCUCUCUGCUGUGUUGGGACUGUCAGUGUCUCUAUGCUGUGUGUUGGAGACUGUCAU